rnacentral:rRNA from 1 species
UACGAAGGGGGCUAGCGUUGCUCGGAAUCACUGGGCGUAAAGCGCACGUAGGCGGAUUCCUAAGUCGGGGGUGAAAUCCUGGAGCUCAACUCCAGAACUGCCUUCGAUACUGGGAAUCUUGAGACCGGAAGAGGUGAGUGGAACUGCGAGUGUAGAGGUGAAAUUCGUAGAUAUUCGCAAGAACACCAGUGGCGAAGGCGGCUCACUGGCCCGGUACUGACGCUGAGGUGCGAAAGCGUGGGGAGCAAACAGG